GAGAUGUUACAAAGAUUCCAACACAGCAAAAAGAGGCGUUCUUGAGUAUCCACUUCGAUUGCUGUAUCAACAUAACAUUUACUAUAAUGGGAUCCAUGUCACUUAAGACAAUGUCUUGGAAAUGCUGUCAAUUUAUUCCGUAAAAGAAUAUCGGAGAGUAUCCAAUCUAUACACAUCAUAAACGGUGUAAAAAUGUUUCAUGGAAAAAAACAAAAAGAAAAAAAGCAAAGACAAAGUCAAAUGCCAACACCAUCACCACGGUGAUAACAGAUGAUGCUGAUUCAAUAUCUGCAACCAUUUCUAGUCAAAUACUUGGAUAGCUGGAUUCUACAACCAAUACUCUACAACUAAUACCCGGGUAUUCUACAAACACAACCUCCAG